CACCUGCACUAUUUGACGUUACCUACAGAAGAAGCACCGGCUAACUCCGUGCCAGCAGCCGCGGUAAUACGGAGGGUGCGAGCGUUAAUCGGAAUUACUGGGCGUAAAAGCGCAUGCAGGCGGCCUGUUAAGUCAGAUGUGAAAAGCCCGGGCUUAAACCUCGGAAAUUGCAUUUGAAAAACUGGCAGACUAGAGUACUGUAGAGGGGGUAGAAAUUUCAGGUGUAGCGGUGAAAAUGCGUAGAGAUCUGAAGGAAUACCGGUGGCGAAGGCGGCCCCUGGACAGAUACUGACACUCAGAUGCGAAAGCGUGGGGAGCAAACAGGAUUAGAUACCCUCGGUAG
rnacentral:rRNA from 1 species